GUGAAAGCAUAGACAUAAUAAUGGUAGCAUCUCUACACCAUUAUUUUCAGAUUAGAGAGAGAGAAAGAGAGUUCUCUCUUGGUCCAUUUUUCAGAAAUUAAAGGAAAGAAGAACACUUGCAUAAUUUCUUCUUUUCUUUCAUCUUUCUUCAUCUCUUGAUUCAUUUGGUGAAGAUCCUUAGAGGCCAUAUAUUUUUGUGGCUUUACUUGUUACAUCAAGGAGGAGAUUACAAGCACAAGAAGGAGUACAAGGAGUUCUUAAUUCAAGGUGCUUCAAGGUGGAGGAAACACACACAAGGAGAGAUCAAGGAGAGGAACUUUGGUGGUUCACUUGGAUCGGAUUAAAAUCACGCUCCAAGGGCAAUUCAAAAGUGCUCAUUGACUGUCUGCUCAACAAGAUGUUAACUCCUUGGAGAAUUAAGCUGUUUGUGCAGGACAUUCGUCUCUUGGCUGAUCAAUUUCAGUUCAUCCAGUUUAGGCAUAUUUUUCAAGAAGCUAAUUUUGUUGUAGAUAAGUUAGCUGACCUUGGGCCUGAUAUAAUUAAUCCUGGAGUAUGGUUUUCUUGUCUCCCCGUUUCUGUGUCCCCAGCGUUCCAUGUGGAUCAGUUGGGUGCGGGUUGUGUUUGUGGUUGUUCGUUGUAGUUUUUCUUUUCUUGUAUUAAAAAAAAAAAAAUCAUCUCUUAUCUACAGAACUAACAGAUAUCCAGUUUAGAAGAAUAUGUGAUGGAAAUUUGAAUACUACUUGAAUAUGGAGAAAUGAUUAUUAAAAUUUUUUAUACGCCUGGCGGCUAUUGCUGGUUCAGGGUGCAUUCUUA